rnacentral:rRNA from 1 species
AAUCAACGCUGGCGGCGUGCCUAACACAUGCAAGUCGAACGAGAACGGUUCCUUCGGGGAUUUAGUAAAGUGGCGAACGGGUGAGUAACGCGUGGAUGAUCUGCCCUCAAGUGGGGGAUAACUCGGGGAAACCCGGGCUAAUACCGCAUAAGCCCUUCGGGGGAAAAGUAUUUAUAUUGCUUGAGGAGGAGUCCGCGUCCGAUUAGCUAGUUGGUGGGGUAAGAGCUCACCAAGGCGACGAUUGGUAGCCGGUCUGAGAGGACGGACGGCCACACUGGAACUGAGACACGGUCCAGACUCCUACGGGAGGCAGCAGUGGGGAAUUUUGGGCAAUGGGGGCAACCCUGACCCAGCAACGCCGCGUGGAGGAAGAAGGUUUUCGGAUCGUAAACUCCUGUCCCGAGGGACGAAGCAAGUGACGGUACCUCGGGAGGAAGCCCCGGCUAACUCCGUG